rnacentral:snRNA from 1 species
AGCUGUGGGUGCAUUCUGUAUAGAACAUCUGUUACCCCUUUAUUGCCAAGGUUGUUUCAGCUGAUUGGCUGGCUGGGCAAGUGUCUCUAUGCUUUCCCAUGUCUUUAUGAGUAUCCGUCUCAGGGCUAAACUCUUGAUAGAGCCACCUUCCUUGAUAGAGGAGGACCAUUCUUCAGUCAGGGUUAUAUGAAUAGCUGCUAUCCCCAACUGGAACCUCCAGACAAGCUCCAGACAGCCUGUUUCCACCCCACAUGAAGGCCCUUGUGUGGGCAUGUGUGGGAAAGUCCUGAAAACCUAUUCCCACCUUCUAGGUUUUCAAUGCCCCAAA